rnacentral:rRNA from 1 species
AUACGUAGGGUGCAAGCGUUGUUCGGAAUCACUGGGCGUAAAGGGCGUGUAGGUGGAAAGAUUAGAUAGAGGUGAAAUCCCCGGGCUCAACCCGGGAAGUGCUUCUAGAACUGUUUUUCUAGAGAAGGUGAGAGGUUAACAGAAUUCCUGGUGUAGAGGUGAAAUUCGUAGAUAUCAGGAGGAAUACCGGAGGCGAAAGCGGUUAACUGGCACCAUUCUGACACUGAGGCGCGAAAGCGUGGGGAGCAAACAGGAUUAGAAACCCGAGUAGUCC